rnacentral:lncRNA from 1 species
AAAAAGAUUUUAUUUAUUUACUCAUGAGAGACACAGAGAGAGAGAGAGGCAGAGACACAGGCAGAGGGAGAAGCAGGUUCCCUGCAGGCAGCCUGAUAUGGGACUCGAUUCUGGGACCUCAGGGUCACGCCCUGAGCAGAAGGCAGACGCUCAAACACUGAGCCACCCAGGUGCCCCCAUUACCCUGAAUUUAAAUGAUCAACUAUUGGGACUUUAGAGUAUGGGGUAAUGACAGCAAGCAAGAAUAUUACAGAAACAGCUGAACAGUUGCUCACAGAUGAGCUUUCUCUAUAUAGAACCUCUGUAGUCUCUUUCUGUCUGAUUCUGGACCCAAGGUCCCAUUUAUUUCCACUACCGCACACACUUACAUGGUGAGUAUGUAAGUCUUUUUUAGUCUGUUAGGACCACAGGGCACAAAAUCAUGCAACAAGCUAGGAUGUUACACAGGUAGCCUACAUUUAUCUUUAUGACUCUACUCCCAUACCAUGUCAGGAAUUCUAGGACUAUCAUCCAGUUGGCCUUUGGAGACACCCAUUUAACUUUAAUUCCUAUAAAUAGCUUCUUGGAUAAUUUGAAAGUAUUUCCCUGCAACUAUCACCGUUGCAAUAUCUCAAGUUUUCUCUGCCUUGGAAACUUUAAUAUUGCAUAAAUAGAGGAAGUCAAGAGAUUAGUCAAUGUAACAUUUUCAUUUCAUUUUAUGAACAACUGACUCACUCCACCCCCUGCUCAAAGCACACAGCAGUGAUAGGGAAGUCGUUUUAGAAGAAGAAUAGCACACCUUAAUAAAUCUCAUAAACUGAAUUAAAUAUUUCAUCAGACAGAUAUGGAAGAGAAAAACAAAGAGAUAAGUGGAUCUGAACCUGCAGAUAAGUAGGACUAUUACUUCAGAAUCGAGCAAGAGAUACUGGAAUUCUCCUGCCGAGAGAUGGCUUAUUAAUCAAUCAGCAGGAUGGUGGCAACACACUGAUAUUAAGAUGACUCAGGAAGGUUUAAUAAAGGGACUGAUUCCCAAAUAAUGUCAAGAUGUAACGUAAACAAUAGGUUUCUCUACCCCAGGGGAGAGCUGUUAUCUCACCCUAGACCCCAAGUAAUGAAGAGAUUAGUAGUUACCAGAACAAGAAAGGAAAGGGUCAUGCAAUGAAAAUUAGGUCAGUUCUGUUGAGAUAAAGAGCCAAUUUUUCUGCGGAACAUCUCUAGUCUCUUCUGAAAACUCAUGGAAGUAUUCUAAGCCAUAAAUACCUCUGCUUCCCACUUCGAAUACCACUCUGCUUCCCAUUCAUCUCUGGCUGGGGCUUCCCCUGGCCAUGAGGAUGAGCACUGAUAUUCUCUAUCCGGGUUAUAGUCUCCUUGAAUAAGACCAUAAUGGACACCAUGAGGUAGACAGAGAGGGGCCAACAGCAUAUCUACACAGAUGGGGGAUAAAAAUGUCUGGGCUUUUGACUCAAAACAAAAUCUGAAGUGACACACUCCCAAUCCAAGGAAAUAGCUGAAAAGCCCAUACUGAUCACCUCCUGGGGUCCUGGCUUAUUAUAUUAUAUUAAAAAAAAUGAUUACUUUUUAGAGAGGAAGAUGAACCAGUUAUAAGUCCAUAAUUCAGGAACAAACUGAUUAUUGAUGAGAUAUCAAAUCCAUAAUAUAUCUACUAUUACCACAAGAAAAAAUUCCCAGCUAGAUAGUAUAACCUGGUUCAACAACAGGAAGUCAGAAGAAGGCAACCACAAAUCUACCAGGUAAGGAAGAAGGGAUCUGAGAAGGAGAGGUGAAGGGAAACACACACACGCACAUGUGUACACACACAUAGAAGCAUUCAAGGGCAUCUAACAUUUUAAAAUCAAAAACUUAAAGAAAGACAACAAACAAGCAGUAGAAGAUGGGUUUACUCUAGAGGAAAUUUGAAUGCUAUAUACAAUGUUAUAAAAUAAGUAAAUUUAGAGUCCCCAGAGAAGUAAAGGACAGCAUAAGAAAACUCUGAAUUCUGUUCAAUAAUAAGGAAAUGUUAAAUUGUGGAAAAUAAAAAUAUAUGCAGUCACUUAAGAAACUCAAUAGAGAUAAAAUAUCUAACCAUCACAGUGAAAUUGAGAACUGGAUAACUAAGAUAGAGAAUAUCACCCAGAAUGCAAUACACACACAUUUUUUUUUAAAAAGAAAUAAAACCAUGAAAGAGCCAUUAAAAGACAUGAGAGUUAUGGUGACAGGCUGUACCAUAUGUCUUAAUAAAGUUCCAAAAGAAAAUAAAGGAAAUGACAAGGAAGCCUCUCUUAAGGAGGAAAAAAAUAAGCUUCUCCAGAAAUAUGAUGACAGAAGUAUGCUGAGAAGGUAAACUGAAGCAAAUCAACAACUGAACGUACCGGAUUGAUAAUAUAUAACAUUUAGAAUAAAAAGAAAAAAGUAAAACUAUCAGAUAGAAAAGGCAUACUUAUCUAAAAAGAAAUAGCAAAUAGGCUGACAACAGACGUCACAUGUGAUAUAACAAUGCCAGAAAAUCAUGCACUAAAAGCCUUAUCAUGCUGUACAAAACUCAAUGUUAAACUAGAUUUCUAACCCUGCUCAACUACCAUUCAGAAAUUAGUGGAAAAUGAAAACAUUUUAAUAUGAACAAAACAGAAUACUUUAAAAGCCAGAGACAAUCACUGGGAUAAGGAACAAAGGAUAUAAUUUAGAAGACAAGAGAAAGGAGAAAAAUGACUGGGCUUAGAGUUUAUUCAUAUUUGCACACAGAAAUGUAAUGUACUCAAAUAUAAAAAUAACAAAUUAUUUCCUAACGAAGUUGGAACUAACUUAAGAGAAAAAAAUUUUUUUUUUAAUUCUGAUUUUGUUUGUGGGUGUGUGUACGCGCAUGUGCAGGCCAAUGCUGAGUGCUUUCUCUGUCAUUUACUAAUAGGAUUCCAAUCAAUAAUAGAAUAUUCUUCACAAAAUUUUUGUGAAUGUUGAAUGAGGCAACUUACGCAUUUAAAACAGUUCCGACUACCAAAAGAAGCACUGGAUGAUAACUUAAAAUGAUUCUACAUAUUUUCUACUUGUUUAAGAAAAUUCCAUUUUCAUUGGAAACAUGGGAGAGAAUGCACCGUCCACUUUACUCAGUUACUUUAUUGUAUUUUCUCUCUCCUUGUUAAAAAUCAUGUCCAGUUCCAGGCACAAAUUCCCUGACACACGAAAUUAAACUUGGUAACUAAAGCAUCUAGAAGGAUCCCUCACAUAUGAUUUCAAGACAGUU